rnacentral:rRNA from 1 species
CAGUCGCCGCGGUAAGACAGAAGAUGCAAGCGUUAUCCGGAAUGAUUGGGCGUAAAGCGUCUGUAGGUGGCUUUUCAAGUCCACCGUCAAAUCCCAGGGCUCAACCCUGGACAGGCGGUGGAAACUACCAAGCUAGAGUACGGUAGGGGCAGAGGGAAUUUCCGGUGGAGCAGUGAAAUGCGUUAAGAUUGGAAAGAACACCAACGGCGAAAGCACUCUGCUGGGCCGACACUGACACUGAGAGACGAAAGCUAGGGGAGCAAAUGGGAUUAGAUACCCCAGUAGUCCCUGUCUCUUAUAU